rnacentral:lncRNA from 1 species
CGACCGGGAGCGGGAUACACUGGGUCGCCGUAGGAUUCGAGCAUCCUCUUUGCCCCGCUUGUAUUUGUAUGGAUGUUCUCGUUGCCCACCACCUUUGCCUCUGCAACAACCAUGAAAAAUAUAACUGAUUUAUGGGGAUAGGAUUCUCAAAAAAAAAAAACAAAAAAAUUAUGGGGAUAGGUGAAGGACAGCACCAGUUGGUUGAUGACUCCAAAAUAAAGAAAAUAAAACUCUCCUCAUCAUCUUCCGUGUAAAAAUUUCGACAAAUAUCAACUUGACAGAUACGUAAUAGUUUAACAGAGGAAUUAGCAGAAGAAAUAUUGUAUGCAAGGGUUUAAUUGCUUCCACAUAUCUACACAGCAGCCUAGGCCCGAAGUUUAAUUGGUUAUUAUACUUACCCAACAUAAUAAGCUGCUGCAUGACUAAAAGAAAUGAUGAUACCAGAGAAGCCAACGAGCCAAUGUUGCUCGCCCAUUUAUGCCCCUUCAGCAUGAAAUAAAAUUUCUCUUGCUAAAUUAAGCUGUUCUAUGAUAAGUGGGUAUGAUUUUUUUGGAGGGGGAAAGGGGAGGGAGAGAGCGAGAGAACGAUACUUACUUUGCUGAGCGUUUUGACCAAUAAGUUCCCUCGAGGCCAAAACGGGUAUGAUGGCUAUACUAGACACAAGAAGCAAGAGCAGUAUGCGUGUUUUGGGAGCCAUCAUCUCUUGACACGCCC